GGGAUUCACUUGUGGAUCAAAUGUUUUCAUCAUUGCCUCACAGAGAACGGAUGGCAUCCUUAAGUCAAGCUAAAAGCUCCCGAAGCCAGGUUAAACUAGGCCCUGCUUACUUACAGCGUUCACCCCUCACCGUACAGAUACCACUCAAUAAUUUCCUAAGAGAGGAUACUUCAAGUUCUUACAACUUUCAGCUGGUGGAAAGCGUUGAAGCAUUUCUCCGUGGUUGGAAUUCAAGAGACUCAACUUCUCAGAUGGACGAGUUGGUGAAUUUUAGCACUAAACCUAGUGGUGAAAUGUCCACACAAGAUUUUCAGAGUGACCUUCUUUGUGGUUCUUUCGUCUCUACGGAAAAUUUUCAUGGAACACCGUACCUAGAAGCCAUACUAGAGCGAAGAUCAAAAGAUGGGGCCGUGCUGAUCAAGAAAUGGCUGCAAGAAAGUUUACGUCGAGAAAAUGUAUCAUUGAAUGCAAAAAUCCGUCCUGGUUAUGCUUCAAAAUCAGAUCUGCAGACUAUGAUUAAGGCAUUAGCUAAAAGCCAGUCACUGCUGGCGAAAAACAAAGGAAUUAUCCAGCUAGCUGCAGCAGCACUAUCUGCACUAGAUGAGUCACAUAGUGCUAAAUGGGAUGCAUUUAGCAGUGCUGAGAAGAUACUGAAUGUAAAUGCUGGGGACACGAGCCAAAGUCUUGCUGCUCAAAUU
rnacentral:misc_RNA from 1 species